rnacentral:rRNA from 1 species
CGUAGGGUGCGAGCGUUGUCCGGAAUUAUUGGGCGUAAAGGGCUCGUAGGCGGUUUGUCGCGUCGGGAGGGAAAACCCAGGGCUUAACCCUGGGCUGGCUUUCGAUACGGGCAGACUAGAGGUAUGCAGGGGAGAACGGAAUUCCUGGUGUAGCGGUGAAAUGCGCAGAUAUCAGGAGGAACACCGGUGGCGAAGGCGGUUCUCUGGGCAUUACCUGACGCUGAGGAGCGAAAGUGUGGGGAGCGAACAGG